rnacentral:rRNA from 1 species
UACGGAGGAUCCAAGCGUUAUCCGGAUUUAUUGGGUUUAAAGGGUGCGUAGGCGGACUUGUAAGUCAGUGGUGAAAGCCUGCAGCUUAACUGCAGAACUGCCAUUGAUACUGCUGGUCUUGAGUAUAGUUGAGGUGGGCGGAAUGUGUCAUGUAGCGGUGAAAUGCUUAGAUAUGACACAGAACACCGAUUGCGAAGGCAGCUCACUAAACUAUAAACUGACGCUGAGGCACGAAAGCGUGGGUAGCAAACAGG